UGGGGAAUAUUGGACAAUGGGCGAAAGCCUGAUCCAGCCAUGCCGCGUGUGAAGAAGGCCUUAUGGUUGUAAAGCACUUUAAGCGAGGAGGAGGGUACUGGUAUUAAUACUACCAGGUACUGGACGUUACUCGCAGAAUAAGCACCGGCUAACUCUGUGCCAGCAGCCGCGGUAAUACAGAGGGUGCAAGCGUUAAUCGGAAUUACUGGGCGUAAAGCGCGCGUAGGUGGUUCGUUAAGUUGAAUGUGAAAGCCCCGGGCUCAACCUGGGAACUGCAUCCAAAACUGGCGAGCUAGAGUAGGGCAGAGGGUGGUGGAAUUUCCUGUGUAGCGGUGAAAUGCGUAGAUAUAGGAAGGAACACCAGUGGCGAAGGCGACCACCUGGGCUCAUACUGACACUGAGGUGCGAAAGCGUGGGGAGCAAACAGG
rnacentral:rRNA from 1 species